CCUACGGGGGACAGCAGUGGGGAAUAUUGCACAAUGGGGGAAACCCUGAUGCAGCGACGCCGCGUGAGUGAAGAAGUAUUUCGGUAUGUAAAGCUCUAUCAGCAGGGAAGAAAAUGACGGUACCUGAGUAAGAAGCCCCGGCUAACUACGUGCCAGCAGCCGCGGUAAUACGUAGGGGGCAAGCGUUAUCCGGAUUUACUGGGUGUAAAGGGAGCGUAGACGGCAGGGCAAGUCUGGAGUGAAAUGCCAGGGCUCAACCAUCGGACUGCUUUGGAAACUGUACAGCUGGAGUGCAGGAGAGGUAAGCGGAAUGCCUAGUGUAGCGGUGAAAUGCGUAGAUAUUAGGAGGAACACCAGUGGCGAAGGCGGCUUACUGGACUGUAACUGACGUUGAGGCUCGAAAGCGUGGGGAGCAAACAGGAUUAGAUACCCCAGUAGUC
rnacentral:rRNA from 1 species